CCAAUUGAAAGCCUAGCUUUCAUGAGGUUAGCGGCGGACGGGUGAGUAACACGUGGGUAACCUGCCCUAUAGACUGGGAUAACUCGCGGAAACGCGUGCUAAUACCGGAUAACACAUCAAAGUGCAUGCUUUGAUGUUGAAAGAUGGUUCUGCUAUCACUAUAGGAUGGGCCCGCGGCGCAUUAGCUUGUUGGUGGGGUAACGGCCUACCAAGGCGACGAUGCGUAGCCGACCUGAGAGGGUGAUCGGCCACACUGGGACUGAGACACGGCCCAGACUCCUACGGGAGGCAGCAGUAGGGAAUCUUCCACAAUGGGCGAAAGCCUGAUGGAGCAACGCCGCGUGAGCGAAGAAGGUCUUCGGAUCGUAAAGCUCUGUUGUAAGGGAAGAACAAGUGCAGUAGUAACUGGCUGCACCUUGACGGUACCUUACUAGAAAGCCACGGCUAACUACGUGCCAGCAGCCGCGGUAAUACGUAGGUGGCAAGCGUUGUCCGGAAUUAUUGGGCGUAAAGCGCGCGCAGGCGGUUUCUUAAGUCUGAUGUGAAAGCCCCCGGCUUAACCGGGGAGGGUCAUUGGAAACUGGGAGACUUGAGUGCAGGAGAGGGAAGCGGAAUUCCAUGUGUAGCGGUGAAAUGCGUAGAGAUAUGGAGGAACACCAGUGGCGAAGGCGGCUUCCUGGCCUGUAACUGACGCU
rnacentral:rRNA from 1 species